ensembl:lncRNA
UGGAAGUCAGUGGGCCUUCUGCUUUUCACUGUAAGCAAAAAAAAGCCUAUACCUGCAAUGUACAGUUUAUAUAAUUACAAUUUUUAUAGAGGCUGAUAAUGCUUUUUACAUUUUCUUUCUUAUUCAGGCUUCUCAGGCUCUUAAGCAGGUGUUUGUGCAUGAUGGCUCUUAUUCCUGCCAUCAGAUGAGCCACUUGUGUAGCGGGUGUUCUGCUGAGGUCUGCUUGAUGUUCUGCUCAGAGGCUGAUGAUGCUGGAAUCAUGCAUGAACAAGAGAGAUCAGAGAGACAGGUGGAGAGCCGAGAUGAAGCUGGUAUCUAGAGAUAAGAAGGCAGAUACAGGACACUGAUGAUUACUGUCUUUAAGGGCAGAUUAAAGGGCAUCGUUAAUCAUCUCAUCACCAUGGCUCCAGCAGAGAUAUCAUCACUGUAUCUUCAGUCUCACUCUGGAUCGCUGCCAGAUGUUAGCUUGCCUAAAAUCAAGAAAUCGAAUGCCACAAAAACAUUCAAAAAAAAAACACACUUGUCCAUGGGGAACUCCAUAUGCCACAGAAUCAAUCGAACCACCAGUAUGACUGCCCCAUUUAUCUUCAAACAUAACGAUGGUUGGAGGAAAGAAAGUAGUCCAGUUGGAUUGAAAUUGUACCCCCCUCCUCCCUCCUUCCUAUAUUAGAUAUACAGUGUAAUUUGUGAUCAAUCCAGAGGUAGGGAAAAGCGGUAGAAGAAGACUGUGUCCUCUCAGAUGUGGCAGGGCUGGAUUGAGUCUUAAUCAUCCAUACUAUCAGCACAGACUGUGAAUAAGCCCCUGAUGAUCCCUUCAUUUUGCUUUGUUGGAAAUGUACAGAAAACCACCAUCUUCCUUUAGUUUCCCAGUGCAUGCAUAUAUGCAUGUGCGUGUGCACACGUCCACACAUUUUGACAGGCCAUAUAGUAAUUUUUUGUUGACUAAAUCUCUCUGUGCUCUUGUAAAUUAGAAUGCCUUGGGCUUUGAGUGCUAUCUGUGACACUGGGCAGAUGGUGAGGUUGAACUCCAGAGUAAUGAAUCAAUGGUUAAAAAAAAGAGCACCCUUGAAAUAACCUCUAAAUUGGUGCUCGAACAAAUAUAAAAUGCACAUUUAAAAUAUCAACCAUUUAUGGACUAUUUAGAUUAAAAAAUGUUUGCAUGAAUAAACAAAGAAACAAACAAACA